GACGAACGCUGGCGGCGUGCUUAACACAUGCAAGUCGAACGGUAAGGCCCUUCGGGGUACACGAGUGGCGAACGGGUGAGUAACACGUGGGUGAUCUGCCCUGCACUUCGGGAUAAGCCUGGGAAACUGGGUCUAAUACCGGAUAGGACCCUGGGAUGCAUGUCCUGGGGUGGAAAGCUUUUGCGGUGUGGGAUGGGCCCGAGGCCUAUCAGCUUGUUGGUGGGGUGAUGGCAUACCAAGGCGACGACGGGUAGCCGGCCUGAGAGGGUGACCGGCCACAGUGGGACGGAGAUACGGCCCAGACUCCUACGGGAGGCAGCAGUGGGGAAUAUUGCACAAUGGGCGCAAGCCUGAUGCAGCGACGCCGCGUGAGGGAUGACGGCCUUCGGGUUGUAAACCUCUUUCAGCACCGACGAAGCGCAAGUGACGGUAGGUGCAGAAGAAGGACCGGCCAACUACGUGCCAGCCGCCGCGGUAA
rnacentral:rRNA from 1 species